rnacentral:tRNA from 1 species
GCGCCAGUGGUCUAGUGGUAUGACAGUGGCUUCCCAAGCCACUUGUUCGGGUUCGAUUCCCGACUGGCGCA